AUGCCCGCAGGGCCGGCGCCGGCGCCGCUCCCGCCCAUGCGCGGCUGGUGCCGCUGCUGCUCCUCCCGAGUUCGCCGCCGGCCGGGGAGACGGCCACAGGCGGCGCCGCCCCUGCGGAGUACCAUGGAGAGGACCACCGCAGACACAAGAUCGGUGCGCCGCCACCUCUCCUCUCCCGGCGUCACCCUCCCCGACGAUCUGAUCGUGGGGGAGAUCCUCGUCCGGCUUCCGGCCAAGUCGCUCUUCCGGUUCCGUGCGGCGUGCCGCUCCUGGUGCAGCCGCACCUCCACGCACCAGUUCAUCUCUUCCUUCGGCCGCAAGCUUCCUCUCGUCGGUCUGUAUUCGAACCCCCUGAAAAGCUUACACGACAAAUCUGGCCUCGAGUCUGUGGAUGUUCUUGCCGCCGCCAACAACCUCAGAUCUGUCCUCACUUUCGAUUGCUACUCGAACUGGCUCUGCGCUUCCUUGGAUGGCCUCUUGUUGGUGUCCUACGGCAAUGGCCGCCACACCAUUUGCAACCCUGCCACCCGGCAAUCGAUCCCGCUCCCUCAGCUCACCGGAGGAGUCGUUGCAGGGUUGUACUCGUCGCCCACCGCCGACAGGGGCGUGGAGUACCGUACUCUGUUUUCCAAGGGAAGACUCCCCAUGUGCAAUCCCAAGUACUACAUCCUCACCGUCGGCUCACCAAUGGAGCCCAGACCCGUCCAGCUGCCUGAGGAACCCGACAAUCUGAAGAUAGCGUUGCUCCAUGGCAUCAACGAUCCCACUCCAAGCCUGUGCCAUCGGCCAACAGUUAUGCUCAACAGCUGUCUUCACUGGGUGCCAGAGUCAUGCCGUCAUGACAAAGUGGUUGUUUUCGAUACGGUGGCCGAGUCAUUCAGAUCCAUUCAAUCUCCGACUGCCGCCCAAGAAAAUACUCGCUUGUUUGAGAUGGGCAGUCAGCUUGGCUUCAGCUUGUACAAUGGCACAAGUGAUACAAGGUUCUAG
rnacentral:rRNA from 1 species